CAACUAAUAUCUUAAAAAACACUGAAAUAGUAUUUACCUGCACAGCAUGUCUCCAAAAGUCAGCAGUUAUUUACAUAAAUCAAAUCUACGAAACUGUAGAAAGGGGCGGAAGAUACCAAGAAGACGUUCAAAACUCAUGAAUCGAACACAAGCUAAGCAACACAAAACCCACUAACAACUGGACAUCACAAAAUUCGUAAACAUUCUGUUAUGUUAUUUUUCAAACCUUAACCUUGGCUAGACGAGAACUUUUAAAAUUGAGAAAAGUUUUUCAGGACAAAUGUUAUACAAGACUGUUACUAGUAGAAAUAGCACAUACAUUAAGAUGAUAAAAACGCACACAAAGUACAACACUUAGAUAUAAGACAAGAGCAGUAAGAGCCCAUUUUAUAUAUUAAAAAUGUUUGCUUCUUGUGUAAAUUUUAUUAUUU